rnacentral:rRNA from 1 species
ACAAGCGGUGGAUGAUGUGGUUUAAUUCGAUGCAACGCGAAAACCUUACCACCUUUGACAUGGCAGGAAGUUGCCAGAGAUGGUUUCGUGCUCGAAAGAGAACCUGCACACAGGUGCUGCAUGGCUGUCGUCAGCUCGUGUCGUGAGAUGUUGGGUUAAGUCCCGCAACGAGCGCAACCCUUGCCAUCAGUUGCUACGAAAGGGCACUCUGAUGGGACUGCCGGUGACAAACCGGAGGAAGGUGGGGAUGACGUCAAGUCCUCAUGGCCCUUAUAGGUGGGGCUACACACGUCAUACAAUGGCCGGUACAAAGGGCAGCCAACCCGCGAGGGGGAGCCAAUCCCAUAAAGCCGGUCGUAGUCCGGAUCGCAGUCUGCAACUCGACUGCGUGAAGUCGGAAUCGCUAGUAAUCGUGGAUCAGCAUGUCACGGUGAAUACGUUCCCGGGUCUU